GAGAUUAUUUAGCCAAUCGUGGCUAAGUAUUGGGGUCACGUGUACCGUCGCAGUUUAUUGGCUCGGUAUAUUAGCUGGAGCGAAAGGCAUGAAGGUUAGAUCGCGUCGGAAGGAGCAGAGCUGGCAGGUCAGUUAAAGCGUAGUAUCAUUUAAUGUCUGUAAAUAUGUACGAUGCUCACUUAAUGUACUGAACUGUAGGAGCCCAUUAUUGUGAGCCGGAAAGGGAGAUGGAAAAGAUCCGGUAGUAUGACACAAAACUGCGGAACUGGCCAGAUGGAUGGUGAGCUAUGAGACCAGGCCUAGAGCCAAGGAAGGAAUUCACCUGUUGGUGAUUAAGGACUGUUUACUUCUCCUACCCAGCCGGUAGGAGAAUCCUACAAAGGACUCUGCUCCUUCUUUGAUUGGACUUUCAUUUACCCAAGACGUGAAUCAAGCUCCGGAUACUCGCCUUGUUGGUGAGCCUGAUUGAUCCCCAUUCGGGGUGGAUGGACUAAGGGGGGGUGUGAGAUGAACUUUAACUUUGGGACCGAUUAAUUAAUUAGUUUUUUUUUUUAAUUGUUUAAAUCACUCAAGUUUUAUUACAAAAUAAUUACAAAGUAAAAAAAAAAA